GGAGUAUUACGGAACCGGGUGAUAAUUAGGCGGCUGGGGUCUGGGCAGCUGGUGUCUGCGUGCGGCCAGGCCGGGCCUUUACGUGGGGUCCGGGGCCUGGGCGUGAGAGCGACGCCGGCCGGCUCUAGCGGGAGGCUUGUGGGAGCCCAGCCCCGGCGGGGUUACUCCGGCAGGGCUGGGGUUGCCCUGGCCUUGGAGUUGCAGUCUGGGGUCACGCGGGUGGCUGAGGAGGCCCUCGGGUCCUGAUUGAAGCCAAAUCCGUGCCUUGGUUGGACAACGCCGAGCGCUUGCGGAGUGCCAGGCUCGGCCCUCGGCACUGCAGCUCCCGCCCGUCCGCGGUGCGUCCUGCCCAUGCUUCCGGGGGUGGAAAGCAAGACCGCACCUGGGCCAGGAUCUACCAUACCCAUUGAUUAACUAUGGAAGACUAUACCAAAAUAGAGAAAAUUGGAGAAGGUACCUAUGGAGUUGUGUAUAAGGGUAGACACAAAACUACAGGUCAAGUGGUAGCCAUGAAGAAAAUCAGACUAGAAAGUGAAGAGGAAGGAGUUCCUAGUACUGCAAUUCGGGAAAUAUCUCUAUUAAAAGAACUUCGUCAUCCAAAUAU